GCCCUGCCUUCUACUCUGGGAAACUGUGUCAGUUUUCAACCUGUGAGGAGACUCCGUGCGGGAAUGGAGCAACGUGUGUUCCGAAAUCCAGCCAAGAUGCCGUGUGCCUCUGUCCUUAUGGAAGAGCGGGACUUCUCUGUGAUGACGUUGUUAAUAUUACAUACCCUAGCUACAGUGGGACAGAUGCCUUUGGCUAUACUUCAUUCCUUGCCUACUCAGCAAUUCCAAAUAUCAGCCUCUAUUACGAAUUCCAUCUGAAAUUUCGGCUGGCAAAUCACGACUCAUCAGUAGAAGACAACCUGAUAUUUUUCACAGGUCAGAAGGGUCAAGGUCUCAAUGGUGAUGAUUUCCUAGUAUUAGGCCUGCGCAAUGGCAGCGUGGUGUACACCUACAACCUAGGAUCAGGAACGGCAACUAUUAUUAGUGAACCCCUAGAUUUGACGCACCCUAUUCAUGUUGUCAGUCUUGGCAGAUC